GCUGUGAUCGUAUAGUGGUUAGUACUUCACGCUGUGGCCGUGACAACCCAGGUUCGAAUCCUGGUCACAGCA
rfam:Ciona savignyi cont_27666, whole genome shotgun sequence.